rnacentral:rRNA from 1 species
CCCUUAGAUGUCCGGGGCCGCACGCGCGCUACACUGAAGGAAUCAGCGUGGCUUUCUCCCUGACCCGAAAGGGUUGGGAAACCCGUUGAAUCUCCUUCGUGAUAGGGAUUGGGGCUUGAAAUUGUUCCCCAUGAACGAGGAAUUCCCAGUAAGCGCGAGUCAUAAGCUCGCGUUGAUUACGUCCCUGCCCUUUGUACACACCGCCCGUCGCUACUACCGAUUGGGUGUGCUGGUGAAAUGUUCGGAUCGGCCGUUUGUCGCGGUUUCCGCGUCAUGUGGCUGAGAAGUUCAUUAAACCCUCCCACCUAGAGGAAGGAGAAGUCGUAACA